UCCGGCUUAACGCCGGCAGUCUCUCUAGAGUGCCCAACUGAAUGGUGGCAACUAAAGACGAGGGUUGCGCUCGUUGCGGGACUUAACCCAACACCUCACGGCACGAGCUGACGACAGCCAUACAGCACCUGUGCUGGUACCCGACUCUACGGGUCGCCGACCCUUUCGGGCACACCUGGAUCUCUCCAGGCUCUCGGACAUGUCAAGGGUAGGUAAGGUUUUUCGCGUUGCAUCGAAUUAAUCCACAUAAUCCACCGCUUGUGCGGGUCCCCGUCAAUUCCUUUGAGUUUUAACCUUGCGGCCGUACUCCCCAGGCGGAUGACUUAACGCGUCAGCUGCGCCACCGAAACUCCAUGAGCCCCGACAGCUAGUCAUCAUCGUUUACAGCGUGGACUAC
rnacentral:misc_RNA from 1 species